GUGCUAUACAUGCAGUCGAGCGAACGGACGAGAAGCUUGCUUCUCUGAUGUUAGCGGCGGACGGGUGAGUAACACGUGGAUAACCUACCUAUAAGACUGGGAUAACUUCGGGAAACCGGAGCUAAUACCGGAUAAUAUUUUGAACCGCAUGGUUCAAAAGUGAAAGACGGUCUUGCUGUCACUUAUAGAUGGAUCCGCGCUGCAUUAGCUAGUUGGUAAGGUAACGGCUUACCAAGGCAACGAUGCAUAGCCGACCUGAGAGGGUGAUCGGCCACACUGGAACUGAGACACGGUCCAGACUCCUACGGGAGGCAGCAGUAGGGAAUCUUCCGCAAUGGGCGAAAGCCUGACGGAGCAACGCCGCGUGAGUGAUGAAGGUCUUCGGAUCGUAAAACUCUGUUAUUAGGGAAGAACAUAUGUGUAAGUAACUGUGCACAUCUUGACGGUACCUAAUCAGAAAGCCACGGCUAACUACGUGCCAGCAGCCGCGGUAAUACGUAGGUGGCAAGCGUUAUCCGGAAUUAUUGGGCGUAAAGCGCGCGUAGGCGGUUUUUUAAGUCUGAUGUGAAAGCCCACGGCUCAACCGUGCAGGGUCAUUGGAAACUGGAAAACUUGAGUGCAGAAGAGGAAAGUGGAAUUCCAUGUGUAGCGGUGAAAUGCUCAGAGAUAUGGAGGAACACCAGUGGCGAAGGCGACUUUCUGGUCUGUAACUGACGCUGAUGUGCGAAAGCGUGCGGAUCAAACAGGAUUAGAUACGCUGGUAGUCCACGCCGUACACGAUGAGUGCUAAGUGUUAGG
rnacentral:rRNA from 1 species